AAUGUGUGUGUCAUCUUAUUUGUUUCAUGAAUAGAACUGAGGCAUAUUACUUCCUUUUCGACUGUCUUUCGUUUAACAAUUGCAAAUUCACAUGGAAAACGGAUAUUAAAUGUACUGCAAUAUCAUUGUGUACAAAAAUGCAGUCAACGAUUUGCAUUCUCUUCAUUGCAAUAACGGCGCUUUCAGCGCUUUGAUUACUUUCAGUAUUGACGUGUCGUGCAAAGAUUGAAAUAAUUCAAGACAACGGUAUUUCGAUCGAGUUCGACAAACCACUCACGAUUAGGUGUACAAAUGACAGGACAUCUGAUGUUGAGUUUCGACAUGAACAACUUGUAGUUGCAUAUUGUUUGGGAAAACAUGGCUGCAAUAUUGAUGACGGAAGGUUUAACAUAACGCAAAACACAUCUGCGGGAAGGAACGAAUAUAUUUUGACAUCUAAAGAUACUAUUCAACCUGAUCUUUGUGGCGUAUAUGAGUGUAAAGACCUGCUUUUCCCAGAAAAGGAUUCAGCUCAAGUUUCGAUAAUAGGCUUUGACACUGAAAAAUAUAAUGCUACCGAGGAAAAAGAUACAAUUUAUCUUACAACAGCGUGUACCUUUCAUGUCUCUCUAUCAGACAUGCAGAUAGUAUGGUACACUUACGAUAAUACAAUUUUAAGGCUCCUCGAUGAGACCAGAAUGGGACAUUCAAUGACACCUUUCAACAGCGCAUCAGUUUGUUCCGAUGAAUGUGAUACAAUAUCUGCGUAUAGAUUUACUUUUGGACUGAAUAUCACUGACCAAGAGCAGGGCUACACUGAUGUAUUCAUAGAGACCGAAAUAUUCCAUCCAGAUUAUAAGAACAAACCUCUAACAUGGCGGUCUUCAAACACAUUUCGUGUUAAAGAUAGCAGUCCAAAGACAUCAAUAUCUUGGGUAGCAUUGAGCUUCAUAGUAUUGGCAUCAGUCUUGGUGACUGUAUUGAUUGCGGGCGCGAUAUAUGUUCUUAUUAGAUUCAGGAGAAGAAGAAUGAACAGAGCAGGGACAUAUAUACACACCAACACCGAGAAAAGCAUGAACAGAGCCUUACGGAUUAGGGAAAGUAUGCCUAGGUUUCGUUCAAGGGGGAAAAAAGCGGCAAAAUCGAGACACGUGGGAACACAGCCAGUCGGAGAGAGCGUUAGAGACAGCCAAUCGGGUAAAUUUUUCUUCUUACAAUUUAGUUUAUUUAGUCUUGAGUUGGAAUUGCCUCUCCUAGUAAAAAAGUAUAGAGUACUCUUGACGAAGUGUAUAUGUAUUGAGCUACGGCCAGUGUAUUAUCAAACGCGUUGUAAAUUAGAACAAUGUGUUCUCCGAUUGAUACAAUGCUCACUAUGUAUUCGAUUAAGUGUGUGGUAGUGGUUAUUAAUCGCCAUUUAGCUGAAAUGUUAAAUUAAUUAAAGGUCAAAAUUACUGAUGAUAGAAAAUUGGAUUACAAAUUCAAUAAAAAUCUAAAUAUUUUGAAACAAAAUAUCUCUGAAUGAGUUGCUAUACAUCAAGCAGUACAGUAGCUACAAUAAUGAGCGAUCAGGGAUACUUUUUUAUUAUUUUGAAAUUUCAUGUGUAUCCCUGUAACGCUACAAUUCUCUACCAUUUAACACUGGGCGAAAGAAUAUAUAGUAAUAUUAUGCAUCGAUGUUGAUUAAUAAUGAUAUAAUUGUUACAAAUGUACCUAACAGUGAUCUUAACUGGGUUGGAUUUGUCGUUAGAGUCGUUAUUUUCACAUAAAUAUACUCUGGGUCACGAAAUGAGCGUAGCAGUCCACCUUUUUUUUAUACAUGUUGAUUUUUAUCGAAUAAAUUUGUACCCAUCCGUCAAUGAUGGUUAACCCUGUGCGCAGUCACAGUUAUCCUCCCUUUUCUAUGUAUUGUGCAGAGCAACGCAACAGUGUUCAAAAAUGGUGAUACCUAAUCAUCAUCAUCAUCAUCACGAACAUCAUCAUCAUCAACUUCUCCCAACUUGACCCAUCAAACACGUUAGCGUUCAGCGCAUUGAAAUGGUUGCAUUUUAAUAGUGUUAUUUAACCGAGCCUAUUAACGACCAAAAUAUUCGAAAUCCUCUACCCCGUUUCAUACAUGUACACAACCUGUCAGAUUUGUCCUAGAUUUACAGAUUAAUGGAUACAAUCGAUGCAUGUAAGUGCAUUAUGGUAUCUGAACAUGUUUUUUUUGGCAUAAUGACAUGAAUAAAUGUGUGUUUGAUAGAAGGCAAUGAUAUUUUCGUAGAAAUUUGAAUUUAUAACAAAGAUAAUUUAAAAAUUGUGGCCGCGAGGAUCCUCUGCGCAAGGCCCGUUUGCUACUUUUUGCUGGGAUGGUGGACGUCACCAGUCUGCCAUAGUCUAAAAAUUGUCAAAAGACUGGUUGACGGCCAUUUAGGUGGACUAGCAGUACAGACGUACCAGUCCCUAAGUAAAACAUUAAAAUUGAUUUCGUUACUCGAUGCUAUUAUGAAAUAGUAUCUUGCAUUUUAGGAUAAAACUGUUUUGUUGUUGUGCAUAUUUUUUAUACAUUUCAGAUGAGGACAUCUCUGUCCAUGAAGGAAAAAUCGUUUCGAUACAUGAUAUUGAAAUGUAAGUCAUAAUCUCUUUCCAGGACAAUUUUUUGACGAAAGAGACGCUUAAAAAACAUUACUUAAAUGUUGGCAAUGCACGGCAUGUUACAUCUCAUUCAGAUUGCUUAUGAAUGAAACUCCUAUUUUAGAAACUUUUAAAUUAUUGCCAGCUUUAUUGUUAAAAUAGCUAAUACUAAAUGUUGGUCAUUAUUCACCACUAGAAACUGAUUAUAAACAUCCUUUCUGGCAGUGCCCAAAGACAUUCAUUUUCGUAUUAUUUCUUUCGCGACCUUUUAUCACGCAAACGUUUAAAUAGUGUUUUUUUUGUUAUUUUAAGCUUACAACCUUUAUUUAUUUUUAAUUUCGUUACUGAGACAUUACGUCAAAAUAAAGCUAUUUUCGUUCCAUUAUUUUAUCUGUUCAUAGUAGAGCUCUAAGUAUAGCUUGUAAUCAUCUUCUAUUAUUGUUACAGGUAUUAAGGUAUAUCCAUUGUUUUCUUCUUUUUCCAGACAGAAGUUUGAUUUAAAUUUAUGGAUUGCAUUUCGUUAGCUCUACUGUCACAAAACUGUAUAAAUAAACAGUUGUGUUUGUACUAUGUGAUAGAAUGAAUCACAUUAGAUUGAUGAACAUAUAUUUGUACAUAUAAAAAAGUGCUAAAUAAGUAAUAUUUCACUCAUUCUUAUUGGAUUGCAAAUCAGGUUCAUACUUUAUAAGCUUUUACAGUUUAGUAUUAACUUAUACUUACAAUGUGUUGCUCAUCAUAUGUAAAGUAUUAGUCUAUAUGAAAGCAGUCUUUGAAUAUUCUAUUAAAAACUAAACAACGCAAUCGUUUAAAUGUAACGUUGUGCAACAACAGUUUUUAAUGUUUGUUCACAUUAAAAUGGCAGAUCUAUAUGAACAUGAAAUAUGUCAUUUGUAACUGAUAUUUUAAAAUAUUUUUACACUGGUUUUGCAUAUGUUGACUCUGACUUGCUUGGCUUAAAGUAGUUAAUUGAAAAUAGGAAAAUGAAAUAAAUCCUUCAAUUUUGUAUGCCAUAAUUUUCAGACAAUGCACCAUUUUCGAAUGGUGAGAACCACAGUCAAUGCAAUUGGGUUGUGGACCAAAUGGCUAUAAGAACCUUUAAUAAACGAUAACGUUGUUAUACCACAUAUAUUCUGUGCAAAUAAGUGAAUGCUUAGUAAUGAUAUCACGUUUCGUAAUAGUUGAAUAAUCAUUUUUUACCCCUAUCUUAAUGUCAGUUUAACUUAACAAUUGAAAGAAAAAGGAGACGUUUUCUAGUAAACUUCGGCUUCCGUUACAAGUUUGUUUUAUAUCAUUGCGAUCCACAUUUAAAUGAUUAUUUAUUAUCAAUGCUAAUUUAAAUAGGUGAGCUUUCCUAUCAAUUUCCCCUAUAUUGUCAUAAGUAAUACCAAUUCAAUAUUGCUUUGCUAUUUCAGCACCAAAUUACAAUGUCGUCUUCAAUCUUAUCAUCGCACGUUAUUUCUACAACUGAAUUAUUUGUAAAACUUUAUUCUCGGUGAUAAUUAGGGGAUAACCUAACUUAAAAAAGAUAUUUCGAUAAAAACAAAGUGCAGUGUGGUAAAUAAGAGCAUUAAAUAAACAGUACCGCAAUUUAAACAUUCAUGCCGCCUUUCAAUUUAUCUAUGUGCAUAGAUAUCAAAGAAAUACAGUUUUAAGCUCAGUUAUUGCAGGUUUUAAACAUGUAUAAAAACAUGCAAAAUAACUUUGUGAAUUUUGCUGAGUGAUAUAUGUCUGUACAGGAUCCUUAUAUUGUCUUAUUUUCAGAGAGAGCGAUAGAGACUUGCAAUGUAUUUCAGGGGAAAAAACGCAUCAUCUUCGAGACUCUUGGAUACACAGCCAAUCGGAUGUGGACUUUCCCUAUCUCUCGAUACAUGAUACUGAACUCCAACAGAUGUUUGCUUUAUAGAUUACAUCAAAACAUAGGACCAACCUGAAUUGUGUUUCGUUAGCUCUACUGUCACCAAGUUGUAUAAAUAAACAGUUGUGUUUGUACUAUGUGAUAUAAUGAAUCACAUUAGGUUUAUGAACAUAUAUUUGUACAUAUAAAAAAGUGCUAAAACACUAUCAUUUCACUCAUCUUAUUGGAUUGCAAAUCAGGUUCAUACUUUAUAAGCUUUGACAAUUUAGUAUGAACUUAUAAUAACAAUGUGUUGCUCAUCAUAUGUAAAGUAUAAGUCUAUAUGAAAGCAGUCUUUGAAUAUUCUAUUAAAAACUAAACAACGCAAUAAAUGAAACGUUGUGCAACAACAGUUUUUAAUGUUUGUUCACAUUAAAAUGGCAGAUCUAUAUGAACAUUAAAUAUGUCAUUUGUAACUGAUAUUUUAAAAUAUUAUUACAGUGCUUUUGUAAAUAUGGACUCUGAUUUGCUUGGCUUAAAGUAGUUCAUUAAAAAUAGGAAAAUGAAAUAAAUCCUUCAAUUUUUUAGAUUAGGUCUCGAUUUGUUUCUUUAAUACGCAUCGCCCGUUGUUGUUGUCGAUGUUGUUGUUUAAUAAUUGCUCAGUAACUGUAAUAACUGCUAUUUUUAUUGACUUCUUAUCAUUUAGUAUUAGUAUACCACACUACUCAUACAACAUACACAACUAUAGAAAUAAAUACGAGCAGUUAUAAUAAGAAAGAGGUAAGGCGGCUCUUUUCUGUAUUGUGUACGUUCCAAGUCUUUUGUAUUUAAAUAAACUUAUUAUUAGAAACUGUUUCAAUUUCGUAACUAAAAUCUAUAAUACAUCUUGCAGUGUAGUACAAAUAACUUAAAAUUGUUUUCAACAUUUAAACUGUAUCCAUAUUAUUCAAAUCAUUUACAUUUUGGUUCUCCUUAUGCAGUUUGGAAUUUAGAAAUUUGCUUUCGAUUCUAUGUUCCAAAGUCCUGCAAUUAUAAACAAAUAAAACAAACACCAUAAGCAAUUACUCAUGUAUAUCCUUCUUUAAAAUGAAGAUGUUAUCUUUAAUAACUUUACGAGUAAAGUUGUCUUUAUUCCUCGACUUAAAAGCCACCCUGCCACUGAUUUUGAAUGUAUAUAAUUUUCCAUUGUUGUGUAUAUACAAACAUGCAUUACUUGACAUUUAUAUUGUAUUUGGUACCAUUAAACCUGUUGUAUAUAUGUUAUACUCUCCAUAUAAAGAGAAAAUUUUAACUGAUAUUGUAAAAUAUUUUAACAGUGUUUUUUUUAUAUUUAGAGUCUGAGUUGCUUGUUCCAUUAAUAUUAGAUAAUGAGUAAAUGUUAUGAUUUUCUUCAUAAUUUAAGGGAUAUAUUUAUCUUAUUUUGUAUAUGAAAUCCAUAUUUACACUUGUAUGUAAUAUUAUUAUGUUCAAUCAGAAUAUUUGCGAUGUGUUAAACUAUUGUACAUUUUAAGGACGACUAUACAGUACGUGUAGAAUAUACUGUUGACCAUUUAAAAUUGAAGUACCAUGGGGGUAGAGUAGACAAAAAUUGUUGGGACACCAUUUAUAGUCAGUAAUCCAUGCUCGUAAAAGGAACCAGUGAAGUAUUUAAUAACACUUUACUUGAGGACAGAAUUGUUUUUGAUUUCUAAUCUAUUUACUCAAGAACGAAUAUCCAUUCAUAUAAACGUUUCACAGAAUAACCCCUAUGUUCAUCAUAAUAAGGCCAGAAUGUUUCCAUGCCAUUACAUUCAUUUUCAACCGUAGAUCAUCUUUAGAGCAGCCAAUCAGGUACCUUCUAUUCUGAUCUCUUUCCAUUUUCGUCUGAAUUAUCUCGAAUAUUUUCCUAAAUCGAUUUCGUUUUACUUUUUGUUUGAUGUGUAAUGCGCCAUUUAUUGAUGAAUCACAUGUGCUAAUUGGGAAGACAUUAUACAUGUUGUACGAAACUUGUGUCUAACCCGGCUCUUUAACAUACGUUAUAUUUUUUGUAUACAUUUUAACUGUACUCUUGUAUAUUAUAUUAUUCUGUUUAAUCAAAACAUUUGCGAUGUUUUAAACUAUUUUACAUUUAAUAAAAGAACUUUAAAUCAUCUUGA